GCCAUCAUCCAAGCCAAAGUUUCAUUACUAAAAUCCAAGAAUUUGUGAUAACAAGCGCGAAUCUUCUGUGCAAUCUUCGUCAAGUGAUCGACAAUGUGUUGAAACUUGAGGUUCAGGAGUUGUUUCUGGGUUCUUUUCGCUGCGGCAAGCUUGUACCUCUCCAUCUCAUAGAGCUCCGGACGCCAAUAAUGGUAAGGACCGAUAGCAACUUGUUGUGGAG
rnacentral:misc_RNA from 1 species